GCACAGCAGAAGGCCACAUACUAGUGCAUGCAAUAAUUAAUGUCUGCCAUCUCAGAUCUGCCUUUUUCUGCUUUCAGCAACCCUGCGUUUCGCAAAUCAUGGUGGGUCCAUGAAUAAAAAAUAGUAUUUCUUACUUUACCAAACAAUUGUUUUAAUUAGGACUUGAAGCAAACAGAAACACACUGUCCCACAUCGAGCAAUAACUGUGAAGCAUCUUCUUGAAAAAAUGUUGGAAUCCAAUGGGAUGCUCGUUCAAACAUUGCUCCUUCUUUUCUUUAUUCAUCAGGACUUGAGCGAAACGGUGAGCUAAGCUUUUUUCUCGGACAAAAAUGCCCUUGAACAAAGAGGAAAAUAUUGUCCCACAUCGAAGCAAGAGAGAUAUCUCACGAAGGCAGUAAAUAUUCUUUUAUCAAUUUUUUUUAUGACAGAUGAAUCAUGACCGUGUGAUCAUAGCUUGCUAGAUUGUGACUGUGGAGGAUCGUUUCUUAACCAUGGAUGGUCCUGCGGUUGUCUGACAGGCCACCACUCCCACGAAGCCUAUUAUUAGAGCUACAACGGCAACUCCCAAAAUCCCAAGUUCUCCUUCCUGUAUUUUUUCCCUUGUAGUUUCAGUUCACAGCAAGAUAGCUUCUGUAGCGAUUGGCUUCCUGUUACACCAUGAGCACUCCCAAGCAAACGUAGUUGUUCAUGGCGGUCAUUUUCACUUCUCUUCGAUACUUAUCGGUGUAUUCCUUUGAAUACCAAAUUGGCGGAAACGAAAACUUGGUUGUCCCUCCCGCCAUUGAUACCAGAAUCUACGUUGACUGGGCCUUAGAGAACCGAUUCCAAGUUGGUGAUACAGCUCGUGAUCAGUUCAAACACAAAGAAAUACGAGAUCUGCCUUUACCUUCAAUUUCCUGGGUGUUCAUCAUCUUUUUUUGCGAAGGUUUCAAGCACAGGAAGGAUUCCGUGAUGAAGGUUAGGGCAGAGGAUUACAAGAAGCGCAACUCCCGUCACCCCAACUUCUUUUCCAACACUGUUCACCAUCUUAAUCAUCCAGCGUCUUCCUACUUCAUAAGUGGGGUUUCUGGACACUGCGAGAAGGGACAAAGGAUGAUCAUCAUUAAGGUUAUCUCAACUGAUCAAGAGACUAAUUCAAAUCUGCAGCUUUUCCUUCUGCAGGAGUGCUAGUCUUUCGGUGCCUGGAAAGUGCUCUUAUCUCAGCUUGUUUCAUUCUAACAAAAUACCACCGCUAAAGCACCGCAGCCGCUCAGGGUCUUCCUCGUACAUUCAUAUUACUCUCCCCUUGGACACUACCGGGGCUCGAAGCAAAAAGACGGACAGAGAUAAAAACACCUAGGACCAGAUUUGUCCCACAUCAGAAAAGAACGAAGAAACAAGAGAGUUAAUAAACUGUUCGAGGAGCUCAGAACAACACGACCUUACUUGAACAGGAUCUGUUCUAUAGGAUCGUACCUCUGUAUCCUUAAUCACUAAGGAGACAGGAACUUAAACCUGGUUGAGAAAUCAUACCGUGUGAUCAUAACAUGAUUUGGACUAAAGGAGGUUCAACCUAUUUUAGAAGUGUCGACAAGCAGAACCACCUUGUUAUUGAUGUGGGUCUUGAUGAUAGGUCAAUGUUAUAUAUAUAUAUAUAUAUAUAUAUAUAUAUAUGUUAAUUAUUACAAUUUUAGCGAUAUUUAUUAAUGAUUUAACUAAGUUGUUUGAUUUAGGGUGGUUAUCUAGUGAUACCUAAACAACAUACCUUGAUAGAGUUGCAUGAGUUAGUGCGUCCGUAUGUUAUCAAGGUUGGUUUUCAUGAGAUCAUUCAGUUGUGUCUUAUAAAUCUUGACAAUGCAUUGAUUGCAGUAUUAGUAAAGAGUUGGAGAUGAGAGACAUUUUUCAUUGACAUAUUGGUGAGAUGACACCAACACUCUAGGAUGUGGUAAUGUUGAGACACUUGUAAUUAAAAAAGUAUAUAAUUGACCAGUCUUCUGAGUUACAAGAAGUUAUGAUAAUAAGAUAUAAUUGAUUGUAGUUAUGUGUUAUUUAUAUAAAUUGAAUGUAAAAAAAAAAUUAGAGAUUUGUAAUUAAAUUGUAAUUGAAUUUGAACUUGAAUGAUAACGAGGAGAACCUA